UCCUUGAACACAAAUUAUCCUGGAAACCACAUGUUAGUCAUAUUAAAACUAAAAUAUCAAAGUCAACAGCAAUUCUGAACAAAACCAAAGAUAUUGUUAAUACAAAUGCUUUAUAUCUAUUAUAUCAAUCUCUAUUAGUUCCAUAUAAAACUUGUGGUGUGGAAUUUUGGGGAAAAACAUGUAAAUCCUUCACAAAUCCAAUUUUCUUACUUCAAAAGAGAGCAAUUCGAAUCAUAAAUGGGGCAAAUUAUCAUGAAUCAACAAAUCAUUUAUUUAUAACUUUACAGGUACUUAAAUUUAGUGAACUUGGAGACCUUAAAAUAGCAUGUACAUGUAACUGUAAUGUACAAAAUAUAUAAUAGCAUGUUGCCAGACUGUAUCAAGAGGUUGUUUCAAAUAAAAAAUGUCAAUAUGAACUGAGGGGAAGCAGUAUUUUCAUUAAACCAAAUAGCAGAA